rnacentral:rRNA from 1 species
UUCCUACGGGGGGCUGCAGUGGGGAAUUUUGGACAAUGGGCGAAAGCCUGAUCCAGCCAUGCCGCGUGCGGGAAGAAGGCCUUCGGGUUGUAAACCGCUUUUGUCAGGGAAGAAAUCUUCUGAGCUAAUACCUCGGGAGGAUGACGGUACCUGAAGAAUAAGCACCGGCUAACUACGUGCCAGCAGCCGCGGUAAUACGUAGGGUGCAAGCGUUAAUCGGAAUUACUGGGCGUAAAGCGUGCGCAGGCGGUUGUGCAAGACAGGUGUGAAAUCCCCGGGCUUAACCUGGGAACUGCACUUGUGACUGCACGGCUUGAGUGCGGCAGAGGGGGAUGGAAUUCCGCGUGUAGCAGUGAAAUGCGUAGAUAUGCGGAGGAACACCGAUGGCGAAGGCAAUCCCCUGGGCCUGCACUGACGCUCAUGCACGAAAGCGUGGGGAGCAAACAGGAUUAGAUACCCCGGUAGUCCC